CAUAUUUAUGUGAUAACCCUAUAACUAAAUUCACAUAUCAGACUUCAGAGAUUAUUUAUAAUCAAUGAGAAGACUAUUUCAUGAUUCCUGAGCAUAUC